UACGAAGGGGGCUAGCGUUGCUCGGAAUUACUGGGCGUAAAGCGCACGUAGGCGGCUUCUUAAGUCGGUGGUGAAAUCCUGGAGCUCAACUCCAGAACUGCCUUCGAUACUGGGAAGCUCGAGUCCGGGAGAGGUGAGUGGAACUGCGAGUGUAGAGGUGAAAUUCGUAGAUAUCAGGAAGAACACCCGUGGCUAAGGCGGCUCUCUAGUACGGUACUGACGCUGAGACGCGAAAGCGUGGGGAGCGAACAGG
rnacentral:rRNA from 1 species